rnacentral:rRNA from 1 species
AUGUACCAAUCUGCCGUGGAGAAAUUGAAUAACUCUGGUUUGGAUUUUUCUCCUAGAUCCCGUGAUAAACUUAAUACUAGUUGUAUCUUGUGCAGCAAAGGUUAGAAAGAACCUAUAGCAGCCAAGGAUGGAGUGUUACCUCCAUGUACUCCAUGUUUGUUGUUCAGUCUGGUACCUAUUGACAAAUACGGUGAACUUGUGGGAUUAAAAUCUCAAAGGAAAAACUUGAAGAGUGUCAAAAGUGCUCCACCAUUGGAUGUUAAAGUUAGGGCAUCUAGAACUUCAUCACGUUUAGCUAAAGAAAACAAUGUGGCAGCUCAUGCAAAGACUAGAACCACCCGAUCUAGUAAGCGAACUGCACAUGUGAAAAGUGAAAAAGACUUAGGUGAACUGAAUAGCAAAAAUGACACAUCUUGGAGCAACGAAUUAUCCACAUAUGGUUUAGUCUGUGGGAAGCUAAACUGUUCUCUUGAUGGUGUUGACCGCAAUGGAGAUGACCUAUGCAAUAUGUUUGGAUGUUGGAGCUUCUUUUUUGUUAAUUCAGUCAGUUUUGAGUGCAUUGAGAAUAUACUGCAGUUCAGAGAACGCCGACGCCUUUUUUUAUCGCUUCUAUUAAAAAUAGUAAGAACCUUGGGAGCUCAGGGUGGAAAACAUGGAACUCAUGAAGUUCAUAGUAUCUACUGGCAGUGCAUAUCACUGUUGUAUUUUAGAUCUCUUCCUCCAGGUUGUUAUAGAGCCUAUGGGCCUUAUUUAAUUCAACUGAUCAUGAAUGAAAAUACUGGUGAUUUUCUUUCUUUAGAGCUCGCAGACAUACUAUGUAGUAUGAGUUCCUUUUUGCUGAAUGGUUUCCCUUCAGAACAGUCAAGGGAUGGUUGCUGCAACUUCUGUAGUGUACAAAUGUCUGAUGUUGUGUCGUGGUUGCUGAAAGCUUUUGUGUUAUCUAGAGAGAGUCCUUCACUUCUCUAGGAGGUUUGCAGGCUACUUACAUGCAUAUUCUUACUAUCAACAAUUGAUUCUACGAUUCAAUUACCUUUGUAUUCCAAGGGAUCUCUCUCUUUGAAUCAUUGGGCCGCAUACUUCCACCUAACUUCUAUCGGAACAUAUCUCGAUUGCCAUUGCAAGCUUACAAGCAUUGCCCAGAAAAAACAAAAUGAAGGUGCUACUGGAGAUUUCACAGACAAGACAGAAUUAAACCACAAUUUCUAUAUUAGGUUUUCGUCAGCAGACAUGGGACAUCUUGAAAAGCAUGUAACCGAAUUCUUCCAUGAACUUCCUGAUGUACCAAUUGUGUGUCUUAGUAUGCUUGGAGGUGAUAUUGUCAAUGUUCUUGGGGAAACACUUCUUCUGCCUUACCCCUUUCCUGCUUGGAUGUUGAUAUCAAGGUUUGAUUCAACAAACAAGCCUGCCACGAGGCUUCAGAUUCACAUGUUUAUUGUUUGACAAGAAGAGAAUGGAGACGCUCCUAUCAAAGAACUGGAUAAUCCAACUAGAACAUCAGAGAAGAAAUGGAAGUGCCCUUGGAGCUACACUAUAAUAGACUGUGUGGCUCCAACUUACAAAAAGCUACUCGAGGGUAACUUUAGAUCCCUCUCUGGUGCGACACACAUUCCAAAGGAUGCACAAGCAAACGCCAUAAGGCGGUGGUCAGAUAGAAUGAAGCUCAAUGAUGACCGUAAUUAGAUAUUCGAAAACAUUGAAGAAUUGUGGCUAGGACCCUGGAAAUGCCUUCUCCUGAGCCACCAAUUAGCUGACCAACACAACGAGGCAGUUCUGGAAAAUCUUAUCACUGGUCUAGAUUCAAAAUAUAAACUUGAAGUAGAUCCAGCACUCAUCAAGGUCAUCCUGGCGGGGGUUGCAUCAGUGGAUGAAUUGAAAGAAUGUGUUUCUCGACUUAUAUCAUAUAAAAGUUACUUUGGCAGGGGAGGGUGUUGCGGAAGAGAUAGACUUAGAACCUUCUCUUGCCAGAUUAAUGCUGAAGCUCUGGUGACUUUUGAGCAUUUAUGCAAUGGUAUAUUGGAUGAGCUAUCUGAGCCAGUUGAUAGAAAUCCUGUCAUUUUAGUCCUGGAUACUGAUGUGCAGAUGCUUCCUUGGGAGAACUUGCCUGCUUUAAGGAAUCAAGAAAUAUACAGCAUGCCAUCAAUGAGAAGCAUCUUUCUGGCAUUGACUAGAAGCACUAAUCGUCAGAAAGAUGCCAGUGCCAUGGCCUCUCCUUUUCCUGUUAUUGACCCUUUCAAUGCAUUUUAUCUGUUGAAUUCUAGUGGUGAUUUGAUCAACACAGAAGAAGAAUUUUAUCAGCCGUUUAGACACUAGGUGUGGAAGGGGAAAUGCUAGGAUGCUCCAACAGCUGAAGAACUCGUCUUGGCCCUGAGGAAUCAUGAUCUUUUUCUCUACUUUGGACAUGGAAGUGGAAGUCAGUAUGUCUCUGGAAAGGAAGUUGAGAAGUUAGAUAACUGCGCAGCUGCUCUUCUUAUGGGUUGCAGCAGUGGGACACUUCAUUGCAAAGGAGGUUAUGCUCCUCAAGGGGCACCUUUGUCUUAUUUAUUUGCUGGGUCUCCUUGCGUCAUUGCUCUCCAGGACGUCUCAUAUAAAGAUUUCGAUCGAUUUAGUAAAGCAUUGCUCAAUUUCCUCAACGACCUGGCUGAGCCACGGCACUGA